rnacentral:rRNA from 1 species
ACCCGCUGAACUUAAGCAUAUCAAUAAGCGGAGGAAAAGAAACCAACAGGGAUUGCCUCAGUAACGGCGAGUGAAGCGGCAACAGCUCAAAUUUGAAAUCUGGAGCCUUUGGCUUCCGAGAUUGUAAUUUGAAAAGGAUGUUUCGGUGCGACCUGGGCCUAAGCUUCCUUGGAACAGGACGUCAUGGAGGGUGAGAAUCCCGUACAUGGCUGCAGGUUUGCUUCUAUGUGAAACUCCUUCGAAGAGUCGAGUUGUUUGGGAAUGCAGCUCAAAAUGGGUGGUAAAUUUCAUCUAAAGCUAAAUAUUGGGGGGAGACCGAUAGCGCACAAGUAGAGUGAUCGAAAGAUGAAAAGCACUUUGAAAAGAGAGUUAAACAGUACGUGAAAUUGUUGAAAGGGAAGCGCUUGCAAUCAGACUCGCCUUCAGUUGAUCAGCCUUCCUUCUGGUUGGUGCACUCUGCUGUUGGCGGGCCAGCAUCACUUGGGGCGGCGGGACAAAGGUGGCAGGAAUGUGGCUCGCUUCUGUGAGUGUUAUAACCUGCUGCGCCAUGCCGCCAGCCCCGACUGAGGUCCGCGGUUCUGCCUAAGAUGCUGGCUUAAUGGUUGUUAACCCGUCUUGAAACACGG